rnacentral:rRNA from 3 species
ACUCCUACGGGAGGCAGCAGUGGGGAAUAUUGCACAAUGGGCGCAAGCCUGAUGCAGCCAUGCCGCGUGUAUGAAGAAGGCCUUCGGGUUGUAAAGUACUUUCAGCGGGGAGGAAGGUGUUGUGGUUAAUAACCACAGCAAUUGACGUUACCCGCAGAAGAAGCACCGGCUAACUCCGUGCCAGCAGCCGCGGUAAU